AAGAAGUCAGGCCGGAUUAAGCCAUAGUACGGUAAGAGCUAUGCUGCCUGUGAGCCCCGUCUAAGGACGCAAAAUGAAGUCAGGCCGAAAGCCACGGUUUGAGCAAACCGUGCUGCCUGUAGCUCCAUCGUGGGGAUGUAAAAACCUGGGAGGCUGCAACCCAUGGAAGCUGUACGCAUGGGGUAGCAGACUAGUGGUUAGAGGAGACCC
rnacentral:lncRNA from 1 species